rnacentral:rRNA from 1 species
GAUGAACGCUGGCGGCGUGCCUAAUACAUGCAAGUCGAGCGAACGGACGAGAAGCUUGCUUCUCUGAUGUUAGCGGCGGACGGGUGAGUAACACGUGGAUAACCUACCUAUAAGACUGGGAUAACUUCGGGAAACCGGAGCUAAUACCGGAUAAUAUUUUGAACCGCAUGGUUCAAAAGUGAAAGACGGUCUUGCUGUCACUUAUAGAUGGAUCCGCGCUGCAUUAGCUAGUUGGUAAGGUAACGGCUUACCAAGGCAACGAUGCAUAGCCGACCUGAGAGGGUGAUCGGCCCCCCUGGACCUGAGACGCGGUCCAGACCCCUACGGGAGGCCGCAGUGGGGAUUCUUCCGCAAUGGGCGAAAGCCUGCCGGAGCAACCCCGCGUGAGUGAUGAAGGCUUUCGGUUCGUAAAACCUUGUUUUUGGGGAAAAACAUUUUUGUAAGUAACUGUGCCCAUCUUGACGGUACCAAAUCAGAAAGCCCCGCCUACCUCCGU